rnacentral:lncRNA from 1 species
GGACGCUGAAGAGGGCCAGCUUUCUUGUGCCUGGUACAAGAGAGCCUGCUGGGCUACUGCUCUGGUUCAGGGAAAGCCUUACGCAGGAGCAGUGGGAGUGAGCUGGGACUUAUCCCAAGAAGCAGGGCAGCCCUGUAGCUCUGCCACUGGGCUCCUGGAGGAGGCAGUGUGGAAGGUAUGGGCUCAGGGGUGACUGUCACCCUGACAGUGGCAAGGAAUGUCACCUUGGAGGGAGAGACCAUUACUACUACCAGCAGCUACAGCAAUGACUGUACAGUGAGCUCCAGACCUUCAACCUUUGAAUGGAUCCUUCAGAUCUACAGCACACAGACAGCCCUCUUGCAUAAUUCCAUACCUGACUCUGCAGGCAGCCACUGUCAGCCUACCUUGUAAGUCCUAUAUUUAUGCCGUAUAUCUUGUAUUAAAUGUUUC